AUUGAACGCUGGCGGCAGGCCUAACACAUGCAAGUCGAGCGAGCGGCGGACGGGUGAGUAAUGUCUGGGAAACCGCCCGAUGGAGGGGGAGAACUACUGGAAACGGUAGAUAAUACCGCAUACCAGCAGAUGUGCCCAGAUGGGAUUAGCUAGUAGGUGGGGUAACGGCUCACCUAGGCGACGAUCCCUAGCUGGUCUGAGAGAACGACCAGCCACACUGGAACUGAGCCACAGUCCAGACUCCUACGGGAGGCAGCAGUGGGGAAUGGUAAGCAGUAGGCGCAAACCUGAGGCAGCCAUGCCGCGUGUGUGAAGAAGGCCUUCGGGUUGUAAAGCACUUUCAGCGGGGAGGCGUUACCCGCAGAAGAAGCACCGGCUAACUCCGUGCCAGCAGCCGCGGUAAUUC
rnacentral:rRNA from 1 species